CGUCUAUAUACGUAUAGCAUAUCAAUAAGCGGAGGAAAAGAAACUAACUAGGAUUCCCUCAGUAACGGCGAGUGAAGCGGGAAGAGCUCAAAUUUGAAAUCUUCAAGGUUCUACCUUGACGAAUUGUAGUUUAUAGAAGUGUUUUCUGUUAGUGGAGUUUGGUAAAAGUUCUUUGGAAUAGGACAUCAUAGAGGGUGAGAAUCCCGUAUUUGGUCAUUCCUCCUAGCGUUGUGAUACACUUUCAACGAGUCGGAUUGUUUGGGAAUGCAGUCCAAAAUGGGUGGUAAAUUUCAUCUAAAGCUAAAUAUUGGCGAGAGACCGAUAGCGAACAAGUACCGUGAGGGAAAGAUGGAAAAGAACUUUGAGAAGAUAGUUAAACAGUACGUGAAAUUGUCAAAAGGGAAGCGUUUGACACCAGUGUUGUUUUUCCGAAAAUCAAUUACGAAUGUUUUAUUUUUGAGGAGUUAUGACUUCAUCGGCUUGCACCUUUCUUUAUGAAACUUUCUUAAUGCACUUUUCGGUUAACAAGUCAACAUCAAUUUCUUUUGUUGUAAAAGGGUAUGAGGAAGGUGGCUUUCUUUUCGGAGAAAGUGUUUAUAGCCUUGUACCUCUGCAAUCGGAGAGAUUGAGGUCUGCAGCGUAGAUCCUUCGGGGUUAGAUACAUUUGUGCUAAGUUAUAGCUUUUCAUAGACAACUUGUUGACUAUGUUAAGUCUUGUAGCUUACUCGCUUAUGCUAUUUUACCUACGCUUAGGAUGUUGAUAUGCAUGACUGAUAU
rnacentral:rRNA from 1 species